AAGAAAUAAUACUUGCUUUAUGAACUUAGGUUAAGGUUGACUAUUGACGUCAAUAAUAGUUCAAGCAGUAACAUUUUAAGCACCUGUUUCGCCCAGGUGUUUUUCUGCUAUAAUAGCUCUGAUUUUAGAGUACCUCAGUAUCUAGAAAGCAACAGUUCGGACCGUCGUCUAAGCAAUUCUCCAUUUCAUAAAAAAGUUACCAAAGAUAUUGUUCGACACUCAAUGACAAGCUUCAUUUCUUUUUGGAAAAGUAGGUUUCUCUACAGGAAAACCACCGCAAUGGAAGAAGUAUCUCCCAUAAAUUUAGAAAUCCUUACUGAAGACGAAUUGAUCAGGCGAUUAAUUUUAAAAGAUUAUAUUUAGCUUAUCAAUUGGCCAGAUACAAAAAGACAGGUAUGUGAAGUGGCGGAGAACACUCGAAACGCCGUUAAAAUGGGAUGAAAAUUGUAAAGUUAAAAAAAAGUCGUUUUUAAACAAACCUUUAAGAUGAACACUUCUGAAUUAAAAGAAGAAACUUUUAUUGUUUAAAAAGGAAAUAAGCACAGCAGUUGAAAGACUACGUUCGAGGAAGGCAUUGUUACCAAAAGCUAACCAGAGGGAGACAGUUUAUCAUCAGACUAUUCGAGGUGAAAACCUGCAGUAAUUAGGGGAUAGACCAUAGAGGAACAACUCAUUAUUUACUGUUACCAUGAAAUUAAAUUCAAUUGUCGAGGGGAGCGACAGUAUAUAAACUUUGCUGAAGAGCUGGAUUAAAUUGCAACGACAUGCCAAAAUCAAUAUCGAAAGAUACAUCAGCUUAUCUCUCAUCGAGAGGAGGGUAAAACUAUGCAGAAGAUUGUUCUUUUUAGCUAUAAGGAGGCCAUCCGCAGUUUCCAGAAUAUUAAACUUCACUGGAACAAUGUUUGUCCCCAGGAAGAUCGUCCGGCCGACCGCGUCUGACGACUCAUGAUCAGGAUGAGCAACUAAGAUCAGAGCCAGGGGAGCCCUUUUACUAUGGCCUCAUCGAAUUCUAAAUUUUUCUAGGAAUGAAAAUGGUCGCUUUUUUUGUAUCGAGUCCAGAAGGCGUUCAUUAAACGAUACUACGGAAGACCGAUCAAGCUCUUCAGGCAUGGAAGAGAUUAAGAGACAUUAUUCAAAAUAAUGCGCAAAGGCUCCUCCCGCGCAGACACAUUUGUUCUGUCGAUUUUGGCAUUGUUGAAUGGAGGCGUGCAAGUCACUGGUAGCAAGAUCUGGAGAGUAAGGUGAUUGGGUGAUGACAGGAAUGCUUUUGUCGGCGAGGAAUUUCUGCACAGUGUCUCGUGGAUAAACCUGGGGCCAUGCCACUUGUAAACUGUGGAUUUCUUUUGUGCCUUAUCACCGUAAACUUGCUGCAGGGUAGCUGUCGACCCUGCAGUAGUUUUCCCAAUUUGCAAUGAACUUGAUGUUUGCAAACUUCCCAAUGCUGCUCGAACUGGGACAUUGCAUCGAAUGAUAAGUCCUCGUGCCCAAUAGACUCUCUAUAGUAACGACUGCAAGUCUAAACUUACACGAGCAUUAUCAGUGCGAAUAGACAAGCUGAGCUUCCUGCCACAGCAAUGCAUAACCUUAUCUUAUAUUGCAUUUUAUAAGUGUGUAAAAAAAAUUCCGGGAACAUUUUCACUGCCCCUUGUAUUAUCUGUUUUUAUCUUAAACCUCAACAGUGUCAUAUCAAAUUUUAAAAUAUUUUAAUUUUCUGUAGCCAUUUCUUAUUUCAGUUCGUAAAUAAAAGACAAAGUGAGGAGUUAAUAAUAACCAAUACUAAAAGACAACAAUCCCCAUGUUCCAUCUUUUUAACUCCAAAAUAAUUACUAAAAUAUUUAUCGUUUAAUGAGAACCUAACGAUAUUGUAGAUAUGUAAGCGUGAUUUUUGUAUACGUUACAUUAAAAUUGACCAUUCUCUGUAUGUAAUUUACCGUCGUAAAAUUGUAUUUGUUAAAUAUAAUGCUGAACAUAA
rnacentral:lncRNA from 1 species